UCACAGAGGUGGUGGAUGAAGAUGAUUUGAAUGAACUGACCAGGCUGGUGUUGUUCACUGCCACCCACUUCAGAGGCAGCUGGAUUAAAGAUUUCUCGUGGUUUGAAACUUAUGAUGCUCAAUUUUGGCUCAACAAGGACUGAUCGACAACAACAAUGAUUCAGCCUACAUAGAGGAGGUUCUGCAUCUGAAGCGAUGGUGUGGCAAUAACAACCUGCAUCUGAACACAGCCAAGACCAAGGAGAUGGUAAUCGACUUCAUGAGAACAAGGCGAUCUGAGCACUCUACCCUCUAAAUUGAAGGGGAGGAGGAAGAAAGGGUAGAAAGCUUUAAGUUUCUCAGAGUCCACAUCUCAGAGUCCGACCUUACCUGGUCCACAAACAUUUCUCACCAGAGCCAUCUGACCUGCUUCUGCACACUUUGGUUCAACUGCUGCACUGUAGAGGACAAGAGGAAACUGCAGUGGGUGGUGAGGGCACCAGAGUGGGCAAUUGGCACCUCACUAAGCCCGCUCAGAGACAUUUGUAUUGGCAGACUUCAGCGGAAAGCCAGUAUCAUCAUCAAAGACCCCUCACACCCUGGACACUCACUUUCCCCCCCUUCCCUCUGGUAAAUGC